UCAAACUUCAAUUUUAACUUUUGCCGUUUGUUUAAUUU
rnacentral:sRNA from 1 species